rnacentral:rRNA from 1 species
AUUGAACGCUGGCGGCAUGCCUUACACAUGCAAGUCGAACGGUAACAGGUCCUUCGGGAUGCUGACGAGUGGCGAACGGGUGAGUAAAGCAUCGGAACGUGCCCGGUAGUGCGGGAUAGCUCGGCGAAAGCCGGAUUAAUACCGCAUGAGAUCCGAGGAUGAAAGCAGGGGAUCGAAAGACCUUGCGCUACUGGAGCGGCCGAUGUCAGAUUAGGUAGUUGGUGGGGUAAAAGCCUACCAAGCCUGCGAUCUGUAGCUGGUCUGAGAGGAUGAUCAGCCACAUCGGGACUGAGACACGGCCCGAACUCCUACGGGAGGCAGCAGUGGGGAAUUUUGGACAAUGGGCGCAAGCCUGAUCCAGCCAUGCCGCGUGCAGGAUGAAGGCCUUCGGGUUGUAAACUGCUUUUGUACGGAACGAAAAGCCUUCUUUUAAUAAAGGGAGGUGAUGACGGUACCGUAAGAAUNAAGCACCGGCUAGCUACGUGCCAGCAGCCNGCGGNUAAUACGUAGGGUGCAAGCGUUAAUCGGNAAUUACUGGGCGUAAANGCGUGCGCAGGNCGGUCUUGCAAGACAGUGGUGAAAUCCCCNGGGCUCAANCCUGGGAACUGCCAUUGUGACUGCAAGGCUGGAGUGCGGCAGAGGGGGNAUGGAAUUCCGCGUGUAGCAGUGAAAUGCGUAGAUAUGCGGAGGAACACCGAUGGCGAAGGCAAUCCCCUGGGCCUGCACUGACGCUCAUGCACGAAAGCGUGGGGAGCAAACAGGAUUAGAUACCCUGGUAGUCCACGCCCUAAACGAUGUCAACUGGUUGUUGGGGNAUUUAUUUCUUCAGUAACGAAGCUAACGCGUGAAGUUGACCGCCUGGGGNAGUACGGCCGCAANGGUUAAAACUCAAAGGAAUUNGACGGGGACCCGCACAAGCGGUNGGAUGAUGUGGKUUAAUUNCGAUGCAACGCGAAAAANCCUUACCCACCUUUGNACAUGUACGGNAAUCCNUGCAGAGAUGCGGGAGUGCUCGCAAGAGAGCCGUAACACAGGUGCUGCAUGGCUGUCGUCAGCUCGUGUCGUGAGAUGUUGGGUUAAGUCCCGCAACGAGCGCAACCCUUGCCAUCAGUUGCUACGAAAGGGCACUCUGAUGGGACUGCCGGUGACAAACCGGAGGAAGGUGGGGAUGACGUCAAGUCCUCAUGGCCCUUAUAGGUGGGGCUACACACGUCAUACAAUGGCUGGUACAAAGGGUUGCCAACCCGCGAGGGGGAGCCAAUCCCACAAAGCCAGUCGUAGUCCGGAUUGCAGGCUGCAACUCGCCUGCAUGAAGUCGGAAUCGCUAGUAAUCGUGGAUCAGCAUGUCACGGUGAAUACGUUCCCGGGUCUUGUACACACCGCCCGUCACACCAUGGGAGCGGGUCUCACCAGAAGCAGGUAGCCUAACCGCAAGGAGGGCGCUUGCCACGGUGGGGUUCGUGACUGGGGUG